UGAGGAAUAUUGGUCAAUGGACGCAAGUCUGAACCAGCCAUGCCGCGUGCAGGAUGACGGCUCUAUGAGUUGUAAACUGCUUUUGUACGAGGGUAAACUCACCUACGUGUAGGUGACUGAAAGUAUCGUACGAAUAAGGGUCGGCUAACUCCGUGCCAGCAGCCGCGGUAAUACGGAGGACCCGAGCGUUAUCCGGAUUUAUUGGGUUUAAAGGGUGCGUAGGCGGUUUUAUAAGUUAGAGGUGAAAGCUCGAUGCUCAACAUCGAAAAUGCCUCUGAUACUGUAGGACUAGAGUGUAGUUGCGGAAGGCGGAAUGUGUGGUGUAGCGGUGAAAUGCUUAGAUAUCACACAGAACACCGAUUGCGAAGGCAGCUUUCCAAGCUAUUACUGACGCUGAUGCACGAAAGCGUGGGUAGCGAACAGG
rnacentral:rRNA from 1 species